rnacentral:rRNA from 1 species
GGUAACUACGUGCCAGCACCAGCGGUAAUACGUAGACCUCAAGCGUUAUCCGGAUUUAUUGGGCGUAAAGCGCAUGUAGGAGGUUUUGUGCGUCUCUGGUUAAAGCCCACCGCCCAACGGUGGAAGUGCCCGGGAAACGACAAGACUAGAGGGAGUUAGAGGUUCGUGGAACUCACGGUGUAGGGGUGAAAUCCGUUGAUAUCGUGGGGAACACCAAAGGCGAAGGCAGCGAACUGGGACUUUCCUGACUCUGAGAUGCGAAAGCGUGGGGAGCAAAAAGGAUUAGAUACCCUUGUAGUC